GAGGCGGCGGCGGCAGCAGCAGCAGCAGCACCACCAGCGGCAGCCGCGCCAAGGCGAGGCGGCGCGAUCGCCCAGCCAGAAACAUGGAGUCCGCGCCGGCAGCCGCCGAGCCCGCAGCCGCCGCCGCCGCCGCCGAGCCGGGCUCCGAAGCCGCCGCGGCCACGGCCGGCGCUGCAGCCCGGGAUCCCGCGGCCGGCGCGGAGCUGGCCCGGAAAGGAGAGGCGCCGCCGCCGCCGCCGCCUCCCAACCGCAGGCAGAGCUACUCGGGCAGCAGCAGCGGCGGCGGAGGAGGAGGUA